AAAAGGGAGCUGAUAUAAUCGGCUGAGAGGGAACUAAGAGUUUCGACCUGUAACCUGAUUUGGAUAAUGCCAACGUAGGGAUAUAU
rnacentral:ncRNA from 1 species